AAAAACCACAACAAACCCUAGUAUUCUUUCUCCUCUCCCUUGGAACCAGUGGUGAUCAUCAUCAUUCGAAGCUCUACCUCCUUCCAACUCAUUCACUCUACACCUCUAGGGCUUGGUUGACUAACUUGGAAAACGUGCGUUAAUUAAUCUUACCGAGCAAACCAAGGUCUAUAGGUUGAUAUCAGUUGGAACUUGCUGUCUGGGAGGCUAGAGUAGUCAUGGGUCGUGCCACAUGGAUUCGCAAUACAAGUUUAUUGGUUUACGAACGCAUGGUUUAUGAAAUACCUUACAAUAAGUUAUGCUUCCGCUGUAUACAAUAAGUUAUAUGUAAUCUUUUGUAACACUUUAUGUUAAUGAAAGGAAGUUUUAUUCAAACAUA